UGCGCGCCGGACUGUGUCUGACUGACCACAGACGCCAGCGCCCCCUGAUAAUCCGAGUGUGUCUGGCUGUGUCUGGCUGAGCACAGAUUUCACGGGUGCCUGACAGACCAAGGCUGCUGGAUCUGUCCGCCUGACCACAGUUGACUGACUGACUGACUGCGCUCACCUGGCUGCGGCAUCUGGGCCUGGCGAGGCGCGUCUGACGGAGGCGGCCUGACUGCCGCUGACUGACCAGACUCCAUCUGGGCCUGCCGGGCCGUGUCUGACCGGCCACAGUUUGCUGACCGCGCCGGUUGGGGCCAGCUUCUCCACCACAUCUCUGCCUGGCAAGCAGGUCAAAGGACUCAGGUGGAUGAAAGGUCACACAUGUGUCAAAAGGGGCUGCCUUUUCCUGGCCAAGUCUCUUUUAUUCUUUUAGGUCUGCAACCCCUUCACCCAGGAAAUGAAUGCUCCAGUGAUUUAUAAGGCAGGAUCCAGGCUGAAGGCACAGCCCCUAUCCAAGAUAUACCUUUCCAGAGAUAAGAAAGAAGAUUUUUGACUUUAACAUGCAAUGGCUCUUCAAGUUUCUGCUUAGAACUGACAGCCAGCUCUCCAGCUCAUAUUUCACUGGCCAAAAAUCAGAGUUAGAAGGGGCCUUGCAGAUCAUCCUGUGUUUCACUGAUGGCAACACUGAAAUCUGAAGAAGGAAAUGGAUUUACCCUGGGGAUG